rnacentral:rRNA from 1 species
AUUGAACGCUGGCGGCAGGCCUAACACAUGCAAGUCGAGCGAGUGGCGGACGGGUGAGUAAUGUCUGGGAAUCUGCCUGAUGGAGGGGGAUAACUACUGGAAACGGUAGCUAAUACCGCAUACCAUCGGAUGUGCCCAUAUGGGAUUAGCUAGUAGGUGGGGUAAAGGCUCACCUAGGCGACGAUCCCUAGCUGGUCUGAGAGGAUGACCAGCCACACUGGAACUGAGACACGGUCCAGACUCCUACGGGAGGCAGCAGUGGGGAAUAUUGCACAAUGGGCGCAAGCCUGAUGCAGCCAUGCCGCGUGUAUGAAGAAGGCCUUAGGGUUGUAAAGUACUUUCAGCGGGGAGGCGUUACCCGCAGAAGAAGCACCGGCUAACUCCGUGCCAGCAGCCGCGGUAAUAC